rnacentral:sRNA from 1 species
AGCAGAGCCGCAGCAGCAACAGCCACCAAAGAGGGGGCUGAAAGGGAAGAGAACUUAGAUUUGACCUGUGCAAGGACCUCAGCAGCUUGGACACAGCCCACUGCAGAGAUGAAAGGAGAAGCUGGACAUAUGCUACACAAUGAAAAGUCAAAGCAGGAGGGACACAUCUGGGGCUCUAUGAGGAGGACAGCUUUCAUCCUGGGCUCUGGACUUCUCUCAUUUGUGGCCUUCUGGAACUCAGUGACAUGGCAUCUUCAGAGAUUUUGGGGUGCUUCUGGCUACUUUUGGCAAGCCCAGUGGGAGAGGCUGCUGACUACAUUUGAAGGGAAGGAGUGGAUCCUCUUCUUUAUAGGUGCCAUCCAAGUGCCUUGUCUCUUCUUCUGGAGCUUCAAUGGGCUUCUAUUGGUGGUUGACACAACAGGAAAACCUAACUUCAUCUCUCGCUACCGAAUUCAGGUCGGCAAGAAUGAACCUGUAAGUGUCGCAACUUCUCCUGGUCAAAGCACAGAAAGCAAGAGCUAAAGCCACACUCUCAGAAUUCUCACCACUGGCCCAGGAGAGACCUGGCCAGUGUGAGCCAAGUUAUUAGCAACAAGGCUCCCCCAGUUUAGAAGGUUAAAGAGAGGAAAUAAUUUGCCCACAACCUCAGAGUCACUCAGCUAGUGGCCAGUCAAGACCAAUGUUCUGCUCUCCUGAUUCCUGGCCCAGGCUCUGGACCUGCCUGUGGUGCCCCAUGGCACUGUGGUCAGCCUGGCACUGAGAAGGCAGGCAACUCCACUUUACCCAUAGGAAUGGAGACAGCAAUGGGUGGAUGCUAGAAUAUGGGUAACAGCUGUUGUUAUGAGAGAGGGAGACAGCUGCGAAAACAAUGGAUAACUCCACUAUAAUAGACGGAUAGUAUGGAUUCUGAAUGUGUGGGCGGUGGCUGUCUUUUAAACAAGUCCUCCU